rnacentral:lncRNA from 1 species
GGAUAUUGCCAUUAUUAACAAGUCAGUCCCUAUAUUUUUAGAAACCUAUUAAAACAUCUUAUGUUUUCUUUCCAUCAACGAAAUAGUCCUUCCGUCCUCUUUUCCGUUAAAAUUAGAUAAAUGAGGAGAGAUAAAAUUUUUAAAAUCCUAUUUUAUCCUCAAAUAAAAUCUUUUAUUUAGUUCUUGGAUAUUGUUAUUAUUAACAAGUUAGUCCUUAUAUUUUAAAAAAUCUAUUAAAACGUUUUUAUUUUUUUCCAUAUCUAUUAAAACGUCCUUAUUAUUUCUUUUCGUCAAUAAAAUAGUCCCUAUCUUUUCUCAUAUCUAUUAAAACGUCAUUAUCGUUUCUUUCCAUCAACGAAAUAGUUCUUCCUUAUCGUUUCUUUCCGUCAACGAAAUCGUCACUCCCUAUAUUUUUAGAAAUCUAUUAAAACGUUCUUAUCAUUUUUGUUUGUCAAUAAAAUAGUCCCUAUCUUUUCUCACAUCUAUUAAAAUGUCCUUAUCAUUUUUUUUUGUCAACGAAAUAGUCUCCAUCUUUUCUUUUCUCCUCUUCCUCCUCCUCCUCCUUCUCCUCCGGAAAAGAAGGAGAAGAAAAAGAAGAAGAGAAAGAAGAAAAAGAAGAAAAAAAAAAGCAAAAGAAGAAGAAGAAGGAGGAGGAGAAGAAGGAGAAGAAGAAGAAGAAGAAGAAGAAGCAGAAGCAAAAGGAGAAGGAGAAGCAGAAGCAGAAGAAGAAGAAGGAGGAAGAAUUGAUGAAGAAGAAAACGAAGGAGGAGGAGGAAGAGGAGGAGGAGGAAGAGGAGGAGGAUGAAGAAAAUAAUGGGGGGUAAUUUAGUCUUUUACAAUAUUUUUAACGGUAAAAAUAGACGGAAGGGCUAUUUUGUUGACGGAGAGAAAAGAUAAGGACGUUUUAAUAGGUUUCUAAAAAUACAGAGACUGACUUAUUAAUAAUGAUAAUAUUCAGGGACUAAAUUGUAAAUCUCCCUUUAUUUUUUUCAGUUAAAUUUAAUUCAGAAUUCAGAUGAUGCAUAGUUAAAAAAGGUUCAUAAAAAAAUAUAUUUUUUAUUAUCUACCUUUUAAUUUUAGUGAUUGCAUGUUACUUUGAAAUUUUAUUAUAAUAUUAAUCAUUUGAUUAAUUUUACUCAUUAAAAUUAUAACAAAAGAAAUCAGAGAUAAUGGAUCCCAGCUUUGGGUCGGCAACAAGAACCAGCAAUUUGAUUUAUUUUUUAAAUCAAAUUAAAAUCAAUUCGAUUUAAAAUAAUUUUGAUUUUUUGAUGGUUUUAGUCUAAUUUUAGAGUGGCUACAGUUCUGAAUUUUUGUAGUUGAAUUUAAAUUCUAAAUAAUUCAAUCUAAUUUUGGUUCAAUUUUAAUUUGAUUUUGAUUCAAUUUUAAUUUAAAAUUAAACUAAAAUUUAGAUAAAAUUGAAUACUAUAUAAGAAAAUUCUAAAUUUUAUUUACCAAGUGAUGUAGCUUAUGCAGAAUUCAAUAAAUAUGUAAAUUAUAAAUAAAUGAAAUAAUAUUACAUUUAAAUGAAAAUAACUACAAAUUUUUUUCUUUUUAAAAAAACAAUAGGUUUAAACUUAAUUAUUUGAUAAUCAAGUUAUCUAUGAAUCUUCAUAAUAUAACGUUUAGAGAAAUCAAACGCUCGUAUAAUUCAAUUACAAUAAUUAUAUUUAUUCUCCAUCAUAUAUCUUCGAUUUAUGAUAGGGUAAUAUCUUAAUUUGUAAAAUUAUCCAAGUGUUUUUAUUUUUUAAGUUCUUAAUUAGGAUCCUCAGUUUUAAUCUAAUCAUUUAAAUAACAUUAUGCUUUAAAUGCUGAAGCACUAAUAUUGAAAUAUUUUUCAUUUCAUUUAAUAUUGAAUAUUGAUAUUGGACCUCUAGUAAUUCUUUUACAACUUUAAUAAAACUGAAAAAUUUUAUUCAUAUUAUUUUUAUCCCUUAAAUAUAUAAAAAUUUAAAUCAUCAUAAUUACCAAAUUCAAAGUUAGUAUAUAUAAAUUAAUUUAUAUAGUUCUUCUGAACCUUUUUUUUUUUUUUUGUUUCUGCAUUAAAUAUUGCAAACCUCUCUUUGCACCAGUAGAUUAUUGAUUACUUGUAUUUUCUCCGGUGGAAGGUCGCAAUUAAUAUUUCAGCUACCAAAACUCAUACAUAUUUUGAACAUUUUAUCUUACCUUAUUUGCUAUUUUGGAUGCAUUGAAUUUGAUAUAACAGUCCACUAAUAAAUUAUAAAUUCUAUUAUUUUAAUUUUAAAAUUAAAAAAUAAUAAGAUAAACUACAAAAAUUUGUCUAAAAUAUUAAGCCAUUUUGUUUUCAUUAUUUCAAUACAAUCUUUUAUUUCAUCAUCUUCUUCAUUAUUUUUUUAUGUUGACACAAUAUUAUAGAUACAAUUAAAAACAAGUGUGCUAUUUAAAUUUUUUUUUACGAUCCAAUCAUGUCUUCUUCUGGUUCUUCCAGUAUACCUCAUUCGUCUGGAAAAUUUAUUAUCUCUUUCAGUGCAUCUCAAUUUCCUCUCAAAAUUACCCAACCUGGCAUGCUCAGAUUCUUCCACUUUUACGUGGCCAUAAUCUUCUGGGGUUUGUUGAUCGAACCUUCCCAUCUCCUCCACCUUUUAUUCAAUCUGCAGGAACAUCUAUUACUAAUCCCGAUUUUGAGUAUUGGUGCUGUCAAGACCAAUUAAUUUUGGCAGCCAUUAUUGGCGCUACGAGCUUCUCUGUCAUGCAUGUUAUUGCUUCUGCCCAAUCUUCUGCUGAAGCAUGGGAUAAAAUCCAAGUUUCAUUUGCUAAUCGAUCAGCAACACGAGUCUUGUCUCUUCGUGAAAAAUUGUCUUAUGCAAAACGUGAAAAUAAAUCUGUUUCUGAUUACUUACAGCUCAUUAAAUCUGCAGAUGAUGAUUUAGCCCUUUGUGGCAGUCCUGUUUCAGAUUUUGAUCUUGUUGUUCAUGUGUUGAAUGAUUUUGAAUUGGAGUUUUGAGACAUAGCAGCUGCGAUUAGAGCUCAUGGUAUUGUCAUUACCUUUGCAAAAUUGGAAGACAAGCUCUUGGCACAUAAGCUGUUUUUGCGAUGUACAGACCCAUCGUUUGAUCCGACUCCUAUCUUUUCAAAUAAUGUUUGCAAAGGGCUUAAUCAAAGUUUCAAACAGAAUUCUCGAUUCCAUGGCCAACCUGCUUCAGAUGGCUCAUCUCGUUUUCGCUAAUCUGAUAAUCAAUUCCACCGUGGCAUUGGGCAGUCCAAAAUUGUAUGCUAAAUCUGUGAACGGCCAGGACACAUUGCAUGUCAAUGUUUUAAAGCCAAAGUGUUCUUCAAGAAUACUUUUGCCAAACUGAAUGCACAUUAUGUUAAUUCUAAUAUGAGUACUUAUACUAGUUGGGUCCUUGAUACAGGUGUUACUCAUAAUGCUACCAAUGAUCUUCAAAACUUAUCUCUGCACAAGCCGUAUGAUGGGUUGGAUGAACUUCAUCUUACUGAUGGUUCAAGUUUGUGUAUUACACACAUUGGUUCUAAAGUAUUAUCUUUUCUGAAUAAAACUUAUUCUUUAACUAAUAUUUUCUGUGUGCCCGAAGCCAAAGAAAUUCUAGUGUCUGUUUCACAAUUUUGUUUGGUCAAUAAUGUGUCUAUUGAAUUUUUUUUUUUUAUUUUCUUGUUAAGGAUCUGUUCACGGGGGAGAUCAUACAAAGGGGUCAAAUUGAGCGAUACUUGUACCAUCUCACGUCAUGUCUUCAGUCUUCUGCUUCGUCUGCUCAUUCAUUUCAUAGUGUUAGUGUUUCCCGUUCCUUUUGGCAUCAACGUUUAGGUCAUCCAACUUUUAAAGUUUUCAGUAAUGUUUUAUCUAAAUUUGAUUUACCAGUAUCUGCAAUUGAUAAAAUAGAGUGUGAUUCAUGUCGUUGUAAUAAGAGUCAUCGACUCGCAUUUGGUGUGUCUUCUUUGUCUAGUAGUCGACCGUUAGAAUUAUUAUAUUCCGAUGUUUUGGACCCUGCUCCGAUUUUUUCUAUUGAUGGCUUUAAAUAUUAUUUAAUUUUUGUACACCAUUUUAUGAAAUAUGUAUGGUUCUAUCCUCUUAAGUCUAAAUUUGAUGUCUCGUUUAUUUUUCCAGUUUUUCAAAAUCUUGUUGAAAAUACAUUCCAGACAAAAAUUGUCUCUAUUUAUACAGAUGGAGGAGGAGAGUAUGUUGCCUUAAAAUCAAUUUUCCAAACAUAUGAUAUAAAUCAUCUUAAAACACUACCACAUACGCCUCAACACAACGGUGUGGCAUAAUGCCAUCAUCGUCACAUAGUCGAAACAAGAUUAACACUACUCCAUUCGGUGUCUUUGUCUUCUAAAUACUGGUCCUAUGCUUUUCAAACAGUAGUUUUCCUCAUUAAUAGGUUGCCCACACCACUCUUAAAUUAUAAGUCUCCAUAUCUUACAUUGUUUAAUCGUAAAUCAAAUUACUCUAAUCUUAAGGUUUUCGGUUAUUUGUGUUAUCCGUAUCUUCGUCCAUAUAUGAAAAAUAAGUUUGCUCAUAAAUCUGCUCCGUGUGUGUUUCACAGAUACUCAUUGAAUCAAAGUGCCUACUAUUGCUAUGAUCUUCGUCAAAAACGCAUGUACAUAUCUCACCAUGUUGUUUUUGUUGAGGAUCAGUUCCCUAGUUCUUUUGAUCUAUUCUCUUCGCCGUCGUCUGCGAAAUGGUAUGAACCUCAUAUUAAACCUCCUGUUGUUGAUUUUAAUUAGACUCUUGUUUAUCACUAUUUUUAGUCUACUGCAGAUUCUUCAAGUCCUUCACUGCUUCCUAUGCCCACCACUCCAGCACCUGUUUCUGUUUCGCUCUAAGUCCUUCUUUAGUUGAGUCCUCUCCUAGUUUGGGUAAUGCUUUAAUUCAGCCAUCUGUUCCAACUUCUCCAGUGGUUACUUGAACACAUGCCAUGAGAACAAGAUCCCAAAACAGUAUUUUCAAACCUAAGCAUCUUUAUGUAGUGUCCAAACAUCCUCUUCCCGAUAAUCUUGAACCAACGUGUGUAACUCAAGCCAUGAAAUUUUCACAUUGGAGAACUGCAAUGUCAAAUGAAUUUAAUGCCUUGCUUAAAAAUGGUACAUGGAUUCUUGUUCCACCGGAUUCAACUCAGAAUUUAGUUGGAUGUAAAUGGAUUUUCCAAAUUAAGCGAAAUUCUGAUGGUUCUAUUGCAAAGUAUAAAGCUCGUUUAGUAGUACAAGAUUAUAAUUAGAGACCCAGGAUUGAUUGUGGUGAUACAUUUAGUCCAGUACUAAAACCAGCAACUAUACAGCUUAUAUUGACUCUUGCAGUAAUGAAUAAAUGGAAUGUGUUACAGCUCAAUGUUAAUAACGCCUUUUUACAUUGUCCUUUAUAGGAAGAGGUAUUUAUGAAACAACCUAUCAGAUUUAUUGAUCCCUCUAAACCAGAUUAUAUUUUCAAGUUGGUAAAGACUUUAUAUGGUUUACAACAGGCAUCAAGGGCUUGGUAUCAAGCCUUGCGAAAUUGUGUUUUGGGUCUUGAUUUUAAACAGGCCAGCAAUGAUCAUUCAUUGUUUAUUUAUAGAAAAGAUGUUAUUAUUUAUUAUUUCUUAGUUUAUGUUGAUGAUCUCUUGGUCACAGGAAACACAAUGUCUUUUAAUGACAGGUUGAAUUAGCCAACCAGUUUUCUCUCAAAGAUCCGCUGCCACUUCAUUUGUUUCUUGGGAUAAACAUUACUUCAACUAAGCAUGGAUUAUUUUUGUCCCAACAGCAUUAUAUUAGGAAACUUCUUGCUACUAAUAUGGAGGAGGCAAAACCAGUGGCUACACCAUUUGCCACCUCUACAGUUCUGUCCAAGACAAUUGAUCCAAAAUUGAUUGUUGAUGCUGCUGCAUAUCGACGAACAGUGGGUUCUUUGUAAUAUUUAAUCUGGACAAGACCAUGUAUUUGUUUUGCAGUGAAUAGAUUAUGUAAAGUCCAUCUCAGUCUCAUUGAGAUACUCUUAAAAGACUGUCGCGUUAUCUUAAAGGAAUAAUAGACUUUAGCAUUUUAAUUCAUCCUCAACAUUCUCUUAUUUUACAUGCGUUUUCGGAUGCUGACUGGGCCGGUGAUCCUUUUGAUCGAGUCUCCACCACUGGCUAUUUGUUGUAUCUUAGUGGUGUUCCGAUUUCAUGGUGUUCAAAGAAAUAAAAAUCGGUUGUAAGGUCGUCAACUAAGUCUGAGUAUAGGGUUGUAGCAGCUACUGCUUCAGAAAUACUAUUGAUUCGAUCUUUGCUUUUUGAAUUGAGGUUUCCCUUGGUUUUGAAUGUGCCAUCAAUUUAUUGUGAUAAUGUAUCAAUGAUAUAUACUUGUCACAAUCCAGUUUAUCAUACGAAGAUGAAACAUAUCGAGCUUGAUAUUCAUUUCGUUCGAGAUCAAGUGCAGAAAAGUUCUUUAAGAGUGGCUCAUGUUUCUACAAAGGAUAAGUUAGCUGAUUUUUUGACAAAGCCACUACCUCGACCGUCAUUCAUUGCAAACAGGUCCAAGAUUAGUGUUCUUGAUGGCACCCCGAUCUUGUAGAGGAGUGAUAAGCAUCAAUGGAAGUCUUAGCCGGAAGAUUAGUUGUAGUUUAAAUUCAAAUACUUAUUUGUAUAUGUAACCAAUCUGUUGUAAAUCCCUCUAUAAAUAAAAGCUUCUAUAAUGAAUACGAUAUCGCUUCUCUCAUAAACUCUAUUUCCUUAUGCUAUUGAUGAAUAAACAUGAGAAAAAGUUUUAGUAAUAUUAUUAAAACUUGUAAAAUUUUGCAUAAUUUUUUUUUUUGCAAAUAUUCUAAUUAUUUUUAUCACAUAUAAAUAAUGAAAAUCUACUGUCAAAAAUGAAAGUAAUAAAUUCUUAUAUGAAAAAGUUUGAUUUAACAUUUUAUAGAUAGAAUUCCACCUUAUAGGAAUAUUUAGUUGCAAAUUUUUAUGGGUUUGGUGCUAUUAUUUACACAAUAAUGUCCCUAAUCUCUCAUAACAUUUAAAUGUAAUUAUAAAAAACUUAACAUAUUUUUUAUAGGUUGAAUAUAUAGAUUUAAACUUAUAAUUUCAUCUUGUAUACAUAAAUUAAUUACAUGGCAUCCACAUCUAAUAUGAAAAAAUUUACCACAAAAAAAUUGAUUGGUGUAUAUUUUUUAAAGAUACAAUAGAUGUAGUAUUUGCUGAAACAUUAUCAAAAUCAAUACAAAAAAUAUUAAAAGUGAAUAUUCUUCUCAAAUAUUUUUAAUUAAUCGUAUAAUAUUAUUGUACAAUGUCUUUUAUUAAAAUCUCUAAAACAUAAUAAUAUUUUUUAAAUAAUAUGAUUAUUAUCAAUCCAAUAGCAAGUAAUUCUCAUAUAUGAAUUAACUUAUCAAUGAUAUUUCCAAGUAUUUAAACAGAUGGAAACUAUAUGUUUCAAUUGUAAUAACAAUUGAAUCUGUUCAUUUUUAAUUUUAUUAUAGCGUGAUAUAAAAUAAUUAAAAAAAGAUUUGUAAAUUUGUAAUUUUUUAAUAAAUGAAAAAGAUAAAUGUUCAAUACUUAUUAAUUUUGUCAUUUCUUCUUUAGUUAAAGUAUCAAAAUAUUUUAAAAUAUUAAAUAUAUGUGUAUCUCCGAAUUUUGAAAUUGGAUUUGUCUUGUAUCACCAUUUAUUUCACUAAGAUGUUUAUUUUGAAAAUAUCUUUGAGAACUUAUCCACCUUUGAUUUAAAAUUUAAAAAGGUGAUUAUUUCACCUUAAUUUCAUUAUUAAUAAAUAUCUUAGUCAAGUAAACAAUAAAAAUAUUAUACUUUAAUGUUGAUUGGGUUGACUUUAUUACUGGCUCCACUAUUAGUAUUGACGCUUCAUCUUUACUAUUAUUUAUAUUUAUAUACUGCAAUCCAAUAAUUGUUGAAUUUGUGAAAGCAAACUGAUUAUCAAAUAGUUCAUAAAAAUUAUUAGUACAUAUAGGCUUGGAACAGAGAUCAAACAUAUAUUGAUUGGAAAAAUUAGUUAUUUUCCCUUUACUCUUAUAUACUAUCAUUAAUGAAUUUCUAGAAUGUGUUAUAUUAUAAAAAAAGAAAAUAAGGUAUCAAAGUUUAUGAAAACAUGAGAAUGAUUUGAAAGAAUUGAGAUGAUUUCGCAUUGAAAAAAAAAUAUCGAAAGAAAUGCAAUAAUUUCAAUUUGAAGAAAAUAUUGAGAGAAUUGAUAAUUAAAAAAAUUGGAUUGAGAAUUGAGAGAAUUUUAAGAUGAUUUUAAAUGAGCUAAAGUUUGAAUAUUUAUAGAAGGAAAUUUUUUAAAAAAAAAAAUUAAAAAACAUGAAAAACAGUCCUACAGGACCUAUACAGCAUGCUAAGAGUGCCAAACCCCUUGGCCCUUUCACCCAGUAUCCAACCACAGGAUGCCAUAUGACGAUACAAUUUCAAAUUAAAAUUAACCAGAAUUAGAUCAAACCGCCAAUUUGAAUCAAUCGGUUCUGGUCUAGUUCUGAUUCUAGUUAGAGAAAGAGAUCCAAUCUAGUUCACGGUCCGAACUGGAUCGUGUCCAGGUCUAGAGAUAAUGGGAAAAAGAUUUUGAACUUUUCACGUUUUAACAAAUAUACCCAAAUAAAAAAGGGUAAUUUACGAUUUAAUCCCUGGGUAUUGCCAUUAUUAACAAGUCAGUCCCUGUAUUUUCAGAAACCUAUUAAAACGUCCUUAUGUUUUCUCUCCGUCAAUGAAAUAGUCCUUCUGUCUAUUUUUGCCGUUAAAAAUAUAGUAAAAGACUAAAUUACCCCCAAUUAUUUUUCUCCUCCUCCUCCUUCCUUUUCUUCUUCAUUAAUUCUUCUUCCUUUUGCUUCUUCUUCUUCUGCUUCUUCUCCUUUUUCUUCUUCAGCUUCUGCUUCUUCUUCUUCAGCUUCUGUNNNN